rnacentral:tRNA from 2 species
CCUUGGAUAGCUUAAUAAAAGCUUCAGCCUCUUGAUCUGAAGAUGGAAAAUACCUUUCCUCCAAGGG